GACGAACGCUGGCGGCGUGCUUAACACAUGCAAGUCGAACGGAAAGGCCCUGCUUUUGUGGGGUGCUCGAGUGGCGAACGGGUGAGUAACACGUGAGUAACCUGCCCUUGACUUUGGGAUAACUUCAGGAAACUGGGGCUAAUACCGGAUAGGAGCUCCUGCUGCAUGGUGGGGGUUGGAAAGUUUCGGCGGUUGGGGAUGGACUCGCGGCUUAUCAGCCUGUUGGUGGGGUAGUGGCUUACCAAGGCUUUGACGGGUAGCCGGCCUGAGAGGGUGACCGGCCACAUUGGGACUGAGAUACGGCCCAGACUCCCACGGGAGGCAGCAGUGGGGAAUAUUGCACAAUGGGCGGAAGCCUGAUGCAGCAACGCCGCGUGCGGGAUGACGGCCUUCGGGUUGUAAACCGCUUUCGCCUGUGACGAAGCGUGAGUGACGGUAAUGGGUAAAGAAGCACCGGCUAACUACGUG
rnacentral:rRNA from 1 species